GUGGGGAAUAUUGCGCAAUGGGGGAAACCCUGACGCAGCAACGCCGCGUGAUUGAAGAAGGCCUUCGGGUUGUAAAGAUCUUUAAUUGGGGACGAAAUAAAUGACGGUACCCAAAGAAUAAGCUCCGGCUAACUACGUGCCAGCAGCCGCGGUAAUACGUAGGGAGCAAGCGUUAUCCGGAUUUACUGGGUGUAAAGGGCGAGUAGGCGGGCCGACAAGUGGGGAGUGAAAUCCGGGGGCUUAACCCCCGAACUGCUUUCAAAACUGUUGGUCUUGAGUGAUGGAGAGGCAGGCGGAAUUCCCAGUGUAGCGGUGAAAUGCGUAGAUAUUGGGAGGAACACCAGUGGCGAAGGCGGCCUGCUGGACAUUAACUGACGCUGAGGCGCGAAAGCGUGGGGAGCAAACAGGAUUAGAAACCCCUGUAGUCC
rnacentral:rRNA from 1 species